rnacentral:rRNA from 1 species
UACGUAGGGUGCGAGCGUUGUCCGGAAUUAUUGGGCGUAAAGAGCUCGUAGGCGGUCUGUCGCGUCGGUCGUGAAAACUUGGGGCUUAACCCUGAGCUUGCGGUCGAUACGGGCAUGACUGGAGUUCGGCAGGGGAGACUGGAAUUCCUGGUGUAGCGGUGGAAUGCGCAGAUAUCAGGAGGAACACCGAUGGCGAAGGCAGUUCUCUGGGCCGUAACUGACGCUGAGGAGCGAAAGCGUGGGGAGCGAACAGG